AGCGGAGGAAAAGAAACCAACCGGGAUUGCCUUAGUAACGGCGAGUGAAGCGGCAAAAGCUCAAAUUUGAAAUCUGGUACCUUCGGUGCCCGAGUUGUAAUUUGGAGAGGGCAACUUUGGGGCCGUUCCUUGUCUAUGUUCCUUGGAACAGGACGUCAUAGAGGGUGAGAAUCCCGUGUGGCGAGGAGUGCGGUUCUUUGUAAAGUGCCUUCGAAGAGUCGAGUUGUUUGGGAAUGCAGCUCUAAGUGGGUGGUAAAUUCCAUCUAAAGCUAAAUAUUGGCGAGAGACCGAUAGCGAACAAGUACAGUGAUGGAAAGAUGAAAAGAACUUUGAAAAGAGAGUGAAAAAGUACGUGAAAUUGUUGAAAGGGAAGGGCAUUUGAUCAGACAUGGUGUUUUGUGCCCUCUGCUCCUUGUGGGUAGGGGAAUCUCGCAUUUCACUGGGCCAGCAUCAGUUUUGGUGGCAGGAUAAAUCCAUAGGAAUGUAGCUUGCCUCGGUAAGUAUUAUAGCCU
rnacentral:rRNA from 1 species